rnacentral:lncRNA from 1 species
ACUUGGACGCCGCGGGCUCUGAGGCCGGAGCUGCAGCCGCUGCGCCUCGAGCUCCCCGCGCCCUGACGCGGUCCACCCAGGCUCAGCUCCCUUGCGCGCCCCGUCUUCGCCUAUUUCCCGCAACUUUACAAAAAAAAAAAAAAAAGGACGACCUCCCCGCUUUGGUGAGGCGGUCUGGGUUUAGAGACGCACCUCCGGGGAAAUCUGCUAUCUUUCUGCCCCCUCUAGAGCGGGGCCAGAAGCUUCGAGGACCGGGAGGGAGAAUUUGGCCGCGCCCCCCAGCUCAGGUGCGCGGCGGGCCAGAGAUUCCUAGUCGAGGGUCCUGGGAGGUAGACGCGUGUUCCAAGACCCCACCCUUCCAAGAGCUCCUUAAUGGAUUCAGUGGGCACUAGGGCCCCGGGAGAAAAGGGGCGGAGAUUCCCGUUCCCAUUUCUCAGGUGAGGAAACUGAUCCGAGAAAGGAUAUUUUAUCUCUCAGGCAGGCAUCAGCCUCAACUCUUGAGUCCCGGGGCUAAAACGACUACGUACAUUUGGUGCCCUGAGACCAUGGCCUACGCACUCAAAACCCGAAACAAUGCUUGGAACAGCAGCGCUCAAUAGACCUUCCUAACUUCUCUCUCCCCACCCCUACCGCCCUCCUUCCAAGUCUCUGUACUACUCAAAGUGCAUAAACUCGCAGGACAAUGAUACCUUUGACUACUGAUUCGCCAAUAGCAAAGCAUAUAAGUAUCUGAAGUGACUUCAUUUUACCAAAAGACACUGCCCCAGCUUUAACUUGACAAAGUACUUUGGGCUAUUAAGAAGCAAACAAAAGGAAACCAUACACUUGACGUUCUCCUGUAACUUUUCCAAGAUAAUCAAGGUUGCUACAGACUGGAUUUUACAUACGACAAAGUCAUAGAAACUUCUGUGAAGAGCAAUGUGGUCCAGAUGAAAACAACCCUGAGGGAUUUUUUGUUGUUGUUGUUGUUUUUGGUGAGUGGGAAAGGUGGCUUCUCUCACUGGGCUUUCUUUCUGGCCAGGCACAUAUACACAGACUGGACCAAAGAAGCUUCAUACUCAAAUGGGCAAGACCAAACCCCAUUCAAGGGCCUAAUGUUGUUUGUGACCAUCCAAACCCCUUCAAUUGGCACCUGCACACCUGGAGGAUGGCUUUCAUUUGGCACUUAAAAAUACUUAAGAACACUCUUGUGAAAAUAUCCAUAUUAUGAUCUAAUAAAUGGUAAUAAGCUGGCUGCUCUCUAAGAUGACAGGCAAAUACAGAAUGAGCUUUCAGGAUCUGUGCAACUGACCCACGGUCAACAGUAUGUAGUUAAUAGCAAGCCAAUAAUUGAUGGAAGGCUGGGUAUGGUGGCUGUCUCUAGUCCCAGCACUUUGGGAGGCUGAGACAAGAGGAUCACUUGAGCCUAGGAGUUCAGGACCAGCUUGGGCAACAUAGUGAGACUCCUGUCUCUAAAAAAAAUUUAAAAAUUAGCCAGGUGUGGUGGCAUGUACCAUAAGUCCCAGCAACUUGGGAGGUUGAGGUAGGGGGAUUGUUCGAGCCUAGAAGGUUGAGGCUGCAGUGAGCUGUGCUGUCAUGACUCCGACUGCACUCCAGCUUAGGCAAGAGAAUGAGACCCUGUCCCUCUCUUAAAAAAAAAAAAAAAAAAAAAAAAAGAUGAAGUCCCACUUGCCCAUAAUACUGAGAAUACAGGGUGAUUUUAGGCUUAAGCUAAAUUCUAACUCCUUUCCCCACAACUGUUAACAGUUAAGCCUUUUCUGCAAAGUCAAGGAUGCUAAUAAGAGAUGCUUGAAAUGCUUAUAAGAGAACUGUAAGAGGUUUUGGGUUUUAUCACACAAGUUCCAAGGUGGAGGAGCAGUGACAGUGAGAGAUAAGACAAGGUGAACAAGUUUAAAACCAAAAGCAGUGGACAUUUAUUCCUUAACUUUUGUGCAAGAGUGUAAAGAUGCAUUUGAA